rnacentral:rRNA from 1 species
UCCAGACUCCUACGGGAGGCAGCAGUGAGGAAUAUUGGUCAAUGGGCUUACGCCUGAACCAGCCAAGUCGCGUGAGGGAAGACUGCCCUAUGGGUUGUAAACCUCUUUUGUCAGGGAGCAACGCCGGCUACGUGUAGCCGGACUGAGAGUACCUGAAGAAAAAGCAUCGGCUAACUCCGUGCCAGCAGCCGCGGUAAUACGGAGGAUGCGAGCGUUAUCCGGAUUUAUUGGGUUUAAAGGGAGCGUAGGUGGAUUGUUAAGUCAGUUGUGAAAGUUUGCGGCUCAACCGUAAAAUUGCAGUUGAAACUGGCAGUCUUGAGUACAGUAGAGGUGGGCGGAAUUCGUGGUGUAGCGGUGAAAUGCUUAGAUAUCACGAAGAACUCCGAUUGCGAAGGCAGCUCACUGGACUGCAACUGACACUGAGGCUCGAAAGUGUGGGUAUCAAACAGGAUUAGAUACCCCUGUA